rnacentral:rRNA from 1 species
GGGGGGGGGGGGGGGGGGGCGGGGGGGGGGCGGGGCGGGCGGGCGGGCGCGGCUGUGGGGGGGUGCGGGGGGGGCGGGGGGGGGAGUAGCACGGGAGUCACCUGCCCUGUACUUGGUGACUUCUUCAGGCCGCUGGGGCUACUACCGGAUAGGUGCUCCUGCUGCAUGUGGGGUGUUGGAUAGUUUCGGCGGUUGGGGAUGGACUCGCGGCUUAUCAGCUUGUUGGUGGGGUAGUUGCUUACCAAGGCUUUGACGGGUAGGCGGCCUGAGAGGGUGACCGGCCACAUUGGGACUGAGAUACGGCCCAGACUCCUACGGGAGGCAGCAGUGGGGAAUAUUGCACAAUGGGCGGAAGCCUGAUGCAGCAACGCCGCGUGCGGGAUGACGGCCUUCGGGUUGUAAACCGCUUUCGCCUGUGACGAAGCGUGAGUGACGGUAAUGGGUAAAGAAGCACCGGCUAACUACGUG